rnacentral:lncRNA from 1 species
CCACAUUUUCUUUAUCCAGUCUGCCAUUGAUGAGCAUUUAGGUUGAUUCCAUAUCUUUACUAUUGUGAAUAGUACUGCAAUAAACAUAUGUGUGCAUGUGUCUUUGUAGUAGAAUGAUAUAUAUUACUUUGGGUAUAUACCCAGUAAUGAGAUUGCUGGGUCGAGUGCUAUUUCUGUCUCUAGGUCUUUGAGGAAUCACCACACUGUCUUCAACAAUGGUUGAAUUAGUUGUCUUUUAAUGAAGUGAAAGUCAAAGAAAUAAGAUAGCCAAUGCCUAGACUAUAAAUGCAUAACAUUGUAUAUUUACUGUUAAAGAAAAAGUAGACAAGUUUCAUAAGUUGAUUUGUAAGUAAUAUAUUUAGGAGACUACAAAAAUUUUGAGACUGUGUAUAUCAUAGGAUGCUGUUUGUUUGUAUCCUCCAAAUAGGUAACAAGUCCAUAUGAGGCAUAGUUAAGUCUGUGGGUGCUUCAUUGAGGAGUAGAACCUUGAAAAGACUUCUGCCUUGAUGAACAAAUUCGAACACCAGUUUGAAAUAUUGGAUAUUCAAACACAACAAAUGGAAGAUAAAAUGAGUAACUCUACAACCCUAACAACACCACAAAACCAAAUGGAUAUGCUGCUUCAGGAAAUGCCAGAUGAAGCUAGGUAAGAAGUUAUCCAGGUGAUUGUGGAAAAUCUUGAUUUAGUAUCUAGAGGUUCUAAAAUGCUGUGAUAUAGAUGAAAAUAUUUCUCUUUUCCACGAAUUGCCAGAGUUAGGUUUGUGACCCUAGAAUUUAGUGUUUCAAGGGACUUUAAACAGUCAUCUAAUUCCUUGCCAUGCUCAUAAAAAUUUGACUGUGUUUCAAUCAUCUUAGUAUUUUCUUAAAAAUUUCUGGAAAUAGACUCAUUUAGUGUGUGUAAAGAAAUAGGCAAAGGUGAUCAAAGGAAGCAGGAAUGUUUAAACAAUUACCUAAUACCUACUGUUCGCUGCAUAUAUGAAAUAUAUGGUGUGUUUUGUUUUUUGUUUUUUUUAAAAAAAGGACCUUCCAAAAUAAUUCUGCUGUGAUUAGGCCAUUGAGUCAUAAGUCUAGUUUGAGUACUGCAAACUGAGCAAUAUGUGCAAAAUGUGCAAGGGGCUCAAAAGACAGCAGUAUUACACAUAAUGAUUUGGUUGUUUCUUUUAAGUAAAUAGUUCAUACCCUUUUGUGAUAUUGUUAUUGGAAAUAGGGUGUAUAAUACAAGCUGUUUAUUUCAGGCCCUUCAUGUCAUGGGAGAAUGACUUAUCUAUGACAUCUUUGCUAUAGAGGUCAUGUUGUAUCAUUAUUCUCUGGUGUAAUGUUUGCUUCAAGAUAAUGUAGUAGUAAAAAA